GACGAACGCUGGCGGCGUGCUUAACACAUGCAAGUCGAACGGAAAGGCCCUGCUUUUGUGGGGUGCUCGAGUGGCGAACGGGUGAGUAACACGUGAGUAACCUGCCCUUGACUUUGGGAUAACUUCAGGAAACUGGGGCUAAUACCGGAUAGGAGCUCCUGCUGCAUGGUGGGGGUUGGAAAGUGUCGGCGGUUGGGGCUGUACUCGCGGGUUAUCAGCUUGUUGGUGUGGUAGUUGCUUACCAAGGUUGUGACGGAUAGGCGGCCUGGGAGGGUUACCGGGGUCAAGGGGCCUGAGAUACGCAGCAGUAGCGAACGGGCGGCAACGGGGGGAAGCAUGACACAGCAAGCGCACGUCAGAUACGGCGGCCUCGGGUGCGGAAAAACCGCCUUCGGGUUAUAAACAGCUGUGGCAGGUGACGAAGCGUGAGUGACGGUAAUGAGUAAAGAAGCAACGGCUAACUACGUG
rnacentral:rRNA from 1 species